GACGAACGCUGGCGGCGUGCUUAACACAUGCAAGUCGAACGGAAAGGCCCUGCUUGCAGGGUACUCGCGUGGCGAACGGGUGAGUAACACGUGGGUGAUCUGCCCUGCACUUCGGGAUAAGCUUGGGGAACUGGGUCUAAUACCGGAUAGGAGCCAUCUUUAGUGUGGUGGUUGGAAAGUUUUUUGGGGGUAGGAUGAGCUCGCGGCCUUUAAGCUUGUUGGUGGGGUAAUGGCGUACAAAGGCGGCGAGGGGUAGCCGGCCUGAGAGGGUGUGCGGCCACACAGGGGGAGGGAGACGCGCCACAGACUUACGGGGGGGGGAGGAGGGGGAAAUAGCACAAUGGGGGCGGGCGUGAUGCGGAGACGCGGCGUGGGGGGGAAAGGCGUUUGGGUUGUAAACACCUUUCGCGAGGGAGGAGGCUUUUUUGUGACGGUACUUGGAAAAGAAGCACCGGCUAACUACGUG
rnacentral:rRNA from 1 species